UACGGAGGGUGCAAGCAUUAAUCGGAUUUAUUGGGCGUAAAGGGCGCGUAGGCGGGAUUGUAAGUCAGAUGUGAAAUCCCGGGGCUCAACCCCGGAACGGCAUUUGAAACUGCAAUUCUUGAGGGUAGGAGGAGAAAACGGAAUUCCACAUGUAGCGGUGAAAUGCGUAGAUAUGUGGAAGAACACCAGUGGCGAAGGCGGUUUUCUAUCUUAUACCUGACGCUGAGGCGCGAAAGCAAGGGGAUCAAACAGG
rnacentral:rRNA from 1 species